CAGUAGCCGCGGUAAUACGUAGGGUGCAAGCGUUAAUCGGAAUUACUGGGCGUAAAGCAUGCGCAGGCGGUUAUAUAAGUCAGAUGUGAAAUCCCCGGGCUCAACCUGGGAACUGCAUUUGAGACUGUAUGGCUAGAGUGUGUCAGAGGGGGGUAGAAUUCCACGUGUAGCAGUGAAAUGCGUAGAUAUGUGGAGGAAUACCGAUGGCGAAGGCAGCCCCCUGGGAUAACACUGACGCUCAUGCACGAAAGCGUGGGGAGCAAACAGGAUUAGAUACCCCUGUAGUCCCUGUCUCUUAUAC
rnacentral:rRNA from 1 species